rnacentral:ncRNA from 1 species
CACAUACAAAGGCAAACCUGUCGAAAGUCAGGGGCGCAAAGCCCUGGGCCUAAAGCAAAACCAUGGUCGUCCGGCUGCUAUG